rnacentral:rRNA from 1 species
UGACAGUACUCCUACGGGAGGCAGCAGUGGGGAAUCUUGGACAAUGGGCGCAAGCCUGAUCCAGCCAUGCCGCGUGAGUGAUGAAGGCCCUAGGGUCGUAAAGCUCUUUCGCCAGGGAAGAUAAUGACGGUACCUCGGUAAAGAAACCCCCGGCUAACUCCGUGCCAGCAGCCGCGGUAAGUACGGAGGGGGUUAGCGUUGUUCGGAAUUACUGGGCGUAAAGCGCGCGUAGGCGGAUUAGUCAGUCAGAGGUGAAAUACCCAGGGCUCAACCCUGGAACUGCCUUUGAUACUGCUAGUCUUGAGUUCGAGAGAGGUGAGUGGAAUUCCGAGUGUAGAGGUGAAAUUCGUAGAUAUUCGGAGGAACACCAGUGGCGAAGGCGGCUCACUGGCUCGAUACUGACGCUGAGGUGCGAAAGUGUGGGGAGCAAACAGGAUUAGAUACCCUGGUAG